GGGGGUAUAGUUCAGUGAUAGAGCACGUGCUUAGCAUGCACGAGGCCCUGGGUUCGAUCUCCAGCACCUCCA